GUCCACACUGUAAACGAUGAAUACUAGGUGUGGGGGACUGACCCCUUCCGUGCCGGAGUUAACACAAUAAGUAUUCCACCUGGGGAGUACGAUCGCAAGAUUGAAACUCAAAGGAAUUGACGGGGGCCCGCACAAGCAGUGGAGUAUGUGGUUUAAUUCGAAGCAACGCGAAGAACCUUACCAGGGCUUAAAUGUAGAUUGACCGGACUGGAAACAGUUUUUUCGCAAGACAAUUUACAAGGUGCUGCAUGGUUGUCGU
rnacentral:rRNA from 1 species